rnacentral:rRNA from 1 species
AGAGUUUGAUCCUGGCUCAGGACGAACGCUGGCGGCGUGCUUAACACAUGCAAGUCGAACGGGGUCCAUGCAGUCGCAAGACUGCGGAAGACCGAGUGGCGAACGGGUGCGUAACACGUGAGGAACUUGUCCCGGUCUCUGGAAUAACAAGUGGAAACACUUGCUAAUACCGGAUGCCGUCGGACCGUCGCAUGGCGGUCUGACGAAAGGGUUACCGGAUCGGGAGAGCCUCGCGGCCUAUCAGCUUGUUGGUGAGGUAACGGCUCACCAAGGCAUCGACGGGUAGCUGGUCUGAGAGGAUGAUCAGCCACACUGGGACUGAGACACGGCCCAGACUCCUACGGGAGGCAGCAGUGGGGAAUCUUGCACAAUGGGCGAAAGCCUGAUGCAGCAACGCCCGCGUGCGGGAAGAAGGCCCUAGGGUUGUAAACCGCUUUCAGCAGGGAAGAAGAUGACGGUACCUGUAGAAGAAGGUGCGGCCAACUACGUGCCAGCAGCCGCGGUGACACGUAGGCACCAAGCGUUGUCCGGAUUUAUUGGGCGUAAAGAGCUCGUAGGC